UACAUGGGGUGCAAACGUUGCUCGGAAUUAUUGGGCGUAAAGCGCACGUAGGCGGUUCGUUAUGUUGGAUGUGAAAGCCCUAGGCUCAACUUAGGAAGUGCAUCCAAAACUGGCGAGCUAGAGUAUGGAAGAGGGUCGCGGAAUUCCCGGUGUAGAGGUGAAAUUCGUAGAUAUCGGGAGGAACACCGGUGGCGAAGGCGGCGACCUGGGCCAAUACUGACGCUGAGGUGCGAAAGCGUGGGGAGCAAACAGG
rnacentral:rRNA from 1 species